UACGUAGGGUGCGAGCGUUAAUCGGAAUCAUUGGGUUUAAAGGGUCCGUAGGCGGUUUAAUAAGUCAGUGGUGAAAGCCCAUCGCUCAACGGUGGAACGGCCAUUGAUACUGUUAGACUUGAAUUAUUAGGAAGUAACUAGAAUAUGUAGUGUAGCGGUGAAAUGCUUAGAGAUUACAUGGAAUACCAAUUGCGAAGGCAGGUUACUACUAAUGGAUUGACGCUGAUGGACGAAAGCGUGGGUAGCGAACGGG
rnacentral:rRNA from 1 species